AAACAACUAGGCCCAACAAGCUCAUUGGACCGUGAGCAUUAGGGCUUGUUUUCCCCAACAAAUGCUGCCACAAUGCGCCUAUUAAAGGAUUUGUCAUAUGAUGAGAGAAAAAAACUGCAACAAAAUGAUCGAAUUUAUUCGUGAUUACUAUAGUAUUUAAGUCUGAUGAUUUAUCUCUUCUCGUCCCCUAUUUUCCCCUUAUUUCAAUUUUGUUUUACAUUUUUUUUUCAAAUUUGGUUUUGGUUUAGUGUUUUUUUUUUCCUAAUGUCAAGAGAUAUGAUGAGUGAACAAUUUGGUCCGUGUUUCAGAUUUAAUCGUGACCGAUAAACUCUAUUCUAAUUACUCUCUGAUCUCAACUUCUUUAAUUCUAUGUCAAAUU